CAUACACAGCUGAUGUGUCCAAGGGAACAGUGAUAUAGUUUAAGACGACUGGUAUCACAGGUUCUGCUAGGGUGUAGUACUGUAAGCUACUUUAGGCUCACCACCUCUUCAUUUUUUGUUCAGGGUAAAAUCCAAAGGCAGCAAAAGUUUGAGUUAUCUUCUCCUAAGCUCUAAUCAAGAUCUUUGUUAAGAAAACAAGUUUUGCUUCACUUGUAUUGAGCCAUGGAAAUAGUAGAUGUAUGGAAAUAGUAGAUGUGGUCCAUUUCAGUUUUGUGAAUGUAAAUGUGUAGGAUAAAUUUCCUCAAGCAUAAUAGAUGUAUU
rnacentral:sRNA from 1 species